CUUCCCCAUUGUCAUCCUCCGUUUGCAAGCUCUGAUCAUCCCUGUAAUUCAUCAAUGUACAUACGUACGUAAGUAAAAAUGGUGCUUUCCUUUUAAUAUACCGACCCAUGUUCAUUCCCCAUGCUGAAUUAACGUUAGAAUGAAAGGUGAAAUGCAGGAAUAUAACUCAUCGUCCUUUGGACUACGUACGUACGUUGAUACGUAUACAAGGAAGAGAGAUCAUCACAGAUGGUGCUGUGGGGUUUUCACUUUUAAUUCUGGGUCAUCUUCGGCCAAGUUAUUAAGAUUUGACAGUAAAAAUUUGUUUGAUUUUUUUAAAGUUAUUUUUAUAGUUAUUGCAACAUUAUGCGAUCCUUACUAACACUUUAACUUUUUAAAUAAAAAUAUUGUUGUUCAUUCUAAAUGACAAUUUCUAUAAUUAAAUGUAACAUCUAUUUGAAAGAAUAAUCAUCACCUUUUUAUAUUUAUUACGAUAUUACAUGGUUGUUGUCUAAACUCAAAAGCAAUAUUUUUUCGUUUAACAUUUCUUUAUAAUUAAGCACAACAUUU
rnacentral:lncRNA from 1 species